rnacentral:rRNA from 1 species
GUAGGUGGCAAGCGUUGUCCGGAUUUAUUGGGUUUAAAGGGUGCGUAGGCGGUGUCCUAAGUCAGUUGUGAAAUACGGCAGCUUAACUGUCGAGGUGCAAUUGAUACUGGGACACUUGAGUACUGAUGAGGUAUGCGGAAUGGACGGUGUAGCGGUGAAAUGCUUAGAUAUCGUCCAGAACACCGAUAGCGAAGGCAGCAUACUAAGGAGUAACUGACGCUGAGGCACGAAAGUGUGGGGAUCAAACAGGAUUAGAUACCCUGGUAGUCCACACUGUAAACGAUGAUCACUCGAUGUUGGCGAUACACAGCCAGCGUCUUAGCAAAAGCGAUAAGUGAUCCACCUGGGGAGUACGCCGGCAACGGUG